GUGCCCCUCUCCUUCCCUGAGACCCUAACUUGUGACGUUCUGCUUCGAUGUCCACGGGUUGGGUUCUCGGGAGCUGUGAGAGGCAC
ensembl:miRNA mir125b-2 microRNA 125b-1